UAAUAUAUUCCGUCUUUUCUGCAUUCAUUCUCAAUUUAUAUAUAUUCUUCCAUUCUUCUACUGUAUUAAAUGCUUUAUUCAUUUCUGUCUCUAACUGUAUACUACUUUUUCCAAUAACAUAAAUUAAUGUAUUAUCCGUAAACAUUUUUAUACUAUAUCAUUCAGAGAAUAUUUCAAUGAAUGACAAGAGUCCCGAUACAAAUCCUUGGGGCACUCCAUAUUCUAUGUUAAUUAAUUCAGACCAUUUAUCGUUGAAACCAAUCUGCUGCGUUCUAUUAUUUAAAUCAUUCUAAAACAAUACCUCUAAAAUUAUAUUGAUAUAAAUUUUCUAUUAAUCUCUUUCUAUCUACUAUUUCAAACAUUCACUUAAGAUUCAUAGAAAUAACAUCCAUAAUUGUUCUCUAGCUAACUAUUAAUUUCCAUUCAUCAACAACAGUUUGAAUCCAACCAUUUCACACGAAUAUUGUUUUCUUACAUCUAAUCAAUGUUCCGUUAUAAUACCAUUAAAUUCAAAAUACAUUUAUAUUUGCUUCUUCAUCACUAAUUCUAACACUUUCUCAUAUAUUGGUAAUCGAUCUAUAAUAAUUUGCUUUUUAGCUUUUUCUAUUUGUGGAAUCGGUCAGUCUUCUGAAAUGAUAUUUGACUAAAAAAAAUAAGAAUUCCGAUGAUGAAAAGAAAACUCUCUUCUACGGAAAUGCAAUAUAUUCUAAUAAAUGAAAAGUAAAUUAAUAUUGGUACACUAGGAUGUAAUCGUUAUUCGACUGGUAGACGCUGACUACCUUUUUAGGACUUCUUUUCUUUUGUCCGAUCUUUGUCUUGACGUGAAACACUCGAUCGCUAUUCGGCUAUUUACAUUAUUGGGCUGCUGCCUUACAUUCCCCUUGCAUACGUUAUCACACUCGCAUCACACUCUCUAUUUUAUAUUUAUAUAAAUAUUUCAUAUUUACCAGUUCAACUCAGCGAUUCAUUUGCUGAAUUAUAAACUUUAUGAAAAUUGUGGCAACUCGGAUGAAAAAUGUUCUACAAUGUAUGCAAUUAAUCAGCUGGGAUUUUAUUUCCUUUCUACACUGCCUACAUAUCUGUAUCCCAAACCGCGAGAUAUCCAUUUCUCAUUGUUAAAUUUUUCCUUAUCAACUAUUAAUUCGUAUCACGUUAAACGUCAUCAACAACAGCAGUGUUGCUCGAUGAGUCAGUAAGAGAAUUCUUUAAAUUUUCGUCAUCGCUUCGAUUUUGUAGGAUUUGAUAAAAAGCCUAUUGCAGGAUGCCUAGUUGGUUUUGCAGGAUGCUAGACUGGCUAAUAGAAUGUUAAAUGACUGGAAUUCGACUGUGAUGUUGUCUUCGAUAAAAAAAAGUUAGGGAAGAAAUGGACUUGAUGGAAGAAGAAGCGAUGACUUCGAUAAUAGGAGACUCUGGUGGUUUUAGCCAUUUCAAACAUCCAUUGGAAUAUGAUGCUUCAUUCAAUAGAACUCUAGGUGGGAAUGGAUGACUGAUGCCAAGAAUCUGGUAUGGGAUGCUAUAGAUCUGUCCCAAAUAAUAUGAGUAGGGGAGGAUACUCCCAGGACAACCAGGGAGGUCAACAUAUGAGUACUGAGGCGGUUACAAAAUAUCAACUAUAUGGGCGGAUUCAAACUGUUUUGGAGACGUUAAAGUUAUAUUCCACCCAGGCAGUGGAUACUAUGGUAGAUAGCGGAGAGUAUUUGGUAGAUGAAAUCAAGAAUACCAGCUUUUAACUUAAAAGACAAGCUAGCGGUAGAAGCUUCUUGUUUAGAUCUAUUUUCUAAAUUGAAGAAGAGCGAUAAGAUACUGCAUGGCUAUGACCAAUGAAGGAGUUCGCAUUAAUAAGGAGAUACCGUUUUGUCAGUUAAGCGACGGAGAUGAUGGAAUCUGUAAUGAUCACCACAAAAGAUUGGGCAAAGGCUAUAAUCAAUAACCUAAAAGAAGUAUUGAGCUGGCAAAAGAAGAAGAUCAGAAAUGGAGAAAAUUCAGAUGUCUACGUGUAGGGAAGCUUCAUACAAUGAUAUUAAUUAUUGUAGCUACGAACGUGUAAACAUUAAAAAUAAAAUUUUGUGUUUAUCAACAAACCCCCUAAGUGAUAUUUU